AUGAUGAUGUCGUAAUGGGGGGAGGGGCUGAGACGGGCAGUAUAGAAUCCUUUCUUCCACCAUAAUCUUUAGAACCACUGUAAGACAGUACUUCCAAACCCCAUCUCAGCAAGACGACCCAGAAGGAUACCAUGGUCAAUAGUAUUGAAAGCCACUGAGAGGUCCAGGAGAACCAACAAGGACACAUUCUCUCUGUCUCGCCCUUUGCGGAGACCAUCUACCAAGGUGAUCAAAACUGUCUCUGUUCCAUGCCAGAUUUUUUUUUACAGGAGCCCAGCCCAGCAUUAUAUGGCAGUGUAGAUGGGACCUCUAUUUCUCUCCUGAGUCUGACUUUUAUAUGAUGAUGUGGCAUUAUGAUCUGCAUGGACACAGGUAACCUGUCCAUCGUCCAUGCCCUAAUAAUUUCUACAUUGGAUUCAUGAAAUGCAUUAAAUGUGGCACUACUUUUGAAACCCCCCAGAAAUGCUGCUUAGUUCAACCUACAGCUGUUUGAUAGGCUAUUAAUGAAGAUGGGGAACAGGGAAUAUAUAAGGAAAAACAGGAGAUGUCUAAAAAAAUCAUAAUGGAGGUCUAAGGAAUUUUCAGUUGAGCUAAGAUUUAAAAGAGACAUCUAUAAGAAAUGAAAAAAGGGAGAAAUUAUCAAAGAGGAAUUCAAAUGAAUUGCCAGCAUAGUAAGCCAAAGCUCAGAAUAAAUUCAGAUGUGCUAGAGAAGUUAUGUCUGUGGCAAAAGGAAGAACAAGUAAAUGGCAGGGAAUAUGAACCUACUCAAUGCUUCCUUGGCCCCAGUCUUCUUCCAAAAGGUUAAUAGUGCUGAAAUUGUGGUCAAUAGAGCAGAGGAUGCAGUAGGGGAAAUGCAGCACAGAAUAGAUAAAGAGGCAGUACAGGAAUAUCUGGCUACUCUAAAUGUCUCUAGUAGGGUUGUGCAUUUGUAUGAAAUUAUUUUGUAUGAUGGAAAUGGGCACCUAUAUGAAUGGGUUUUUCCAACCAAGGUCCUAAAAAAACAAAAAAAAUUCAGGAUUUUGAUGGCAAAGCUCCAGGCCUUGCGAGCCAGCCCUAUAAGCCAUCGAGCUCUCGAUGGCUUGUAGGCCUAGCAGCCAGGGCCUGCAAUUGAAUGCUUGAUGCUUGCAGGCCUUGGCUGCUAGACCUACAGUCGAGCGCUCAGUGGUAUGCCCGGCAGCCAGGGCCUACGAGCCGUCGAACCUCAAUGUUCGUAUGCCCGGCUCACAGGGCCUACAAUCAAGCACCAAGCCAGGGCCUUUAGCCAAGCGAUGAAAAUCAGCAGUAGAGAAUAGCUACUGUUUCCCUCUGCCAUUUGUUUCACUGUUUCAUUUGUUCCCGUGGGGUUGCACCGUUCUGUGCAAUCCGAAUGGAUGAAACAGUACAAAACCACGAAUGAAACAGAUGAAACAGGAUUUGAGCCCAACCCUAGUUUCUAGGGUUAGAUGAAUUACAUCCAAGGAUAUUAAAAGAACUGGCAGAAAUCAUUACAGAACUACUGGCAAUCAUCAUUGAAAAUUCCUGGAGAACAGAAGUUCCAGCAGACUGGAGGAAGGCAAAUUUUGCCCCCAUUUUAAAAAAAGGAGAAAAGAGGCCUCAAACAAUUAAGCCCAGUCUGACUGACAUCAAUAUCAAGCACUUAGGAAGGAAUGCCAUACUCUUGAAAAGUCAACAUGGGUUUCUCAAAAACAUGUUUUUUUGGUGCUAAAUGAAGACCUUUUUAUUUCUUUACCAAGCUAUAUAAAAAUAUAA